UUAGGUUAAGUUAUGAAGGGCGCAUGGUGGAUGCCUUGGCACUAGGAGCUGAUGAAGGACGGGACUAACACCGAUAUGCUUCGGGGAGCUGUACGUAAGCUUUGAUCCGGAGAUYUCCGAAUGAGGAAACUCGAUAACCUUAAUCGGUUAUAACCUUAAUCGGUUAUCACCAAUUAGUGAAUUAAUUAGCUAAUUUGGCGGCAGACGUGGGGAACUGAAACAUCUAAGUACCCACAGGAAGAGAAAGAAAUUUCGAUUCCCUAAGUAGCGGCGAGCGAACGGGGAACAGCUCAAACCAAAGAGCUUGCUCUUUGGGGUUGUAGGACUGAACAUUUGAGUUACCAAGUUAAACGAUAAUCGAAUUAUCUGGGAAGRUAAGCGAUACAGGGUGAUAGCCCCGUAGAUGAAAUCWUUUAACCUCAGUUCAGGAUCCUGAGUACAGCGAYACACGUGGAACGUCGUUGGAAUCCGGGAGGACCAUCUCCCAAAGCUAAAUACUCCCUAGUGACCGAUAGUGAACCAGUACCGUGAGGGAAAGGUGAAAAGCACCCCGGAAGGGGAGUGAAAUAGUUCCUGAAACCAUGUGCUUACAAACAGUUAGAGCCCGUUAAUGGGUGAUAGCGUGCCUCUUGUAGAAUGAACCGGCGAGUUAUGUUAACAUGCAAGGUUAAGAUGAAAAGAUUGGAGCCAUAGCGAAAGCGAGUCUGAAUAGGGCGUUUGAGUAUGUUGAGAUAGACCCGAAACCAGGUGAUCUACCCAUGUUCAGGCUGAAAGUGCGGUAAAACGCACCGGAGGGCCGAACUCGUGUACGUUGAAAAGUGCUGAGAUGAAAUGUGGGUAGCGGUGAAAUUCCAAACGAACUUGGAGAUAGCUGGUUCUCUCCGAAAUAGCUUUAGGGCUAGCCUCGGACUUAGAAUCAUGGAGGUAGAGCCACUGUUUGGAUGAGGGGCCCGUCAUGGGUUACUAAAUUCAGAUAAACUCCGAAUACCAUUGAUUUAUAUGUCCGGGAGUCAGACGAUGAGUGAUAAGAUCCACYGUCGAAAGGGGAACAGCCCAGACCACCAAUUAAGGUCCCUAAAUAUAUGCUGAGUGGAAAAGGAUGUGAAGUUGCAUAGACAACUAGGAUGUUGGCUCAGAAGCAGCCACCAUUUAAAGAGUGCGUAAUAGCUCACUAGUCGAGUGAUUUUGCGCCGAAAAUUUACCGGGGCUAAGCAUAUUACCGAGAUUGUGGACAUGACGUAGUCAUGUGAUAGGAGAGCGUUCUAAGGGCAAYGAAGUUAGACCGUAAGGACUGAUGGAGCGCUUAGAAGUGAGAAUGCCGGUAUGAGUAGCGAAAGAUUAGUGAGAAUCUAAUCCACCGAAUGACUAAGGUUUCCUGGGGAAGGCUCGUCCUCCCAGGGUAAGUCGGGACCUAAGCCGAGGCCUAGAGGCGUAGGCGAUGGAUAACAGGUUGAAAUUMCUGUACUAGUYAAUUAUGUUUGAGCGAUGGAAGGACGUAGAAGGCUAACUCGUGCACACUAUUGGAUUGUGUGUUCAAGCAGUGAGUCAGUUGAAGAGUGAAAUGCUUUUCAGCGKGUUGACAAGCUGUGAUGAGGAUCGAAUUAUAGUAGAGAAGUGGCAAAAUGACCCCGUAACUUCGGGAGAAGGGGUGCUGCACUAACGUGCAGCCGCAGUGAAAAGGCUCAGGCGACUGUUUAUCAAAAACACAGGUUUCUGCAAAAUCGUAAGAUGAAGUAUAGGGGCUGACGCCUGCCCGGUGCUGGAAGGUUAAGUGGAUGAGUUAGCUUCGGCGAAGCUCAGAAACGAAGCCCCAGUAAACGGCGGCCGUAACUAUAACGGUCCUAAGGUAGCGAAAUUCCUUGUCGGGUAAGUUCCGACCCGCACGAAAGGCGUAACGAUCUGAGCACUGUCUCAACAAGAGACUCGGUGAAAUUGAGAUACCUGUGAAGAAGCAGGUUACCCGCGACAGGACGGAAAGACCCCAUGGAGCUUUACUGUAAUUUGAUAUUGGGUGUUGACAUAGCUUGUACAGGAUAGGUAGGAGCCGUGGAAACCGGAACGCUAGUUUCGGUGGAGGCAUUGUUGGGAUACUACCCUCGCUGUGCUAACACUCUAACCCGCACCACUUAUCGUGGUGGGAGACAGUGUCUGAUUGGCAGUUUGACUGGGGCGGUCGCCUCCCAAAUAGUAACGGAGGCGCCCAAAGGUUCCCUCAGAAUGGUUGGAAAUCAUUCGCAGAGUGUAAAGGCACAAGGGAGCUUGACUGCGAGACAGACAGGUCGAGCAGGGACGAAAGUCGGGCUUAGUGAUCCGGUGGUACCAUAUGGAAGGGCCAUCGCUCAACGGAUAAAAGCUACCCUGGGGAUAACAGGCUUAUCUCCCCCAAGAGUUCACAUCGACGGGGAGGUUUGGCACCUCGAUGUCGGCUCAUCGCAUCCUGGGGCUGUAGUUGGUCCCAAGGGUUGGGCUGUUCGCCCAUUAAAGCGGUACGCGAGCUGGGUUCAGAACGUCGUGAGACAGUUCGGUCCCUAUCCGUCGCGGGCGUAGGAAAUUUGAGGGGAGCUAUCUCUAGUACGAGAGGACCGAGAUGGACAUACCGCUGGUGUACCAGUUGUCCCGCCAGGGGCACUGCUGGGUAGCUAUGUAUGGUUGAGAUAAACGCUGAAAGCAUCUAAGUGUGAAACCCACCUCAAGAUGAAAUUUCCCAUUCCUUUAUGGAAGUAAGACCCCUAAGAGAUGAUUAGGUAGAUAGGCUAGAAGUGGAAGUGCAGCAAUGUAUGGAGCGGACUAGUACUAAUUGGUCGAGGACUUAACCAAG
rnacentral:rRNA from 1 species